GGUUGGUGAACACAGAGAUUUCAAAUGACUGUAAAUGAUAUCGCAACGGAAGUCUCCUAGUGUGGAAUCAAGAACCAUCACCAAGUCAGGAUGAGCUGAGACAGGUUUUCCAGAAGAUUGGAUCAUGGAUGACAGCAACUUCCAGCUCUCAUCUUCCCAGAUUUCAUUCAUUCAAUUCAUAAAACAAGUAGCCACGGAGCACCUAUUACAUGCCAGGAACCGACCUGCCUUAGUGCCACGCCUGGAUCAGUCAUUGGCUGGGGCAGCCAGUGGGAGGCAUGGCAUCAGUGCAAAUACCACGAUGGAUUUUGGAGCCCAGUAGCUGUGGCCCUUGGUCUGUGAUGCUCCCUGGAGUUGGAUGUCUGCAAGGCACAUUCUUCCUCUUGCCUGCCAUAAGUACAUAAUGUAUGAUCACAUUUAUGCCAAGUUCUACAACAAGCAGAACUAAUCUAUGGUAGAAGAAAAUCAGAGUGGUUGUUUAUUCUGGGGGCAAGGACUAAAUGGGGAAGGGUAUAAAGAAAUUUUGUUUUAUAUCUUGUUAGGGAUUGGGGUUACACUGGUCAAAACUCAGUAAAUGUAUGCUAAAGUUUUGAGCAUUUCAUUGUAUACAAACUUUAUAUCAAAAGAGAAAAGCCUGUAAAUAAAUUUUAAAC